AAGAUUAGGGAAAAAAAAAGAAGAGAAAAACUAAACCAAUUUUACCCAAAACCCACUAACAGUACCCCACUCCCCAAUUACAAAUGUUUCAAACCAUAUUCCAUCUCUUCGUCUCUCUCUCUCGUGACAUUUCUUUUCUCUCCUAUGUGCGGCAACUCCUUCUUCUCUCUUCUUCUUCAUCAUUUUCUUCUUCCCUCACCGACAACAUACAAUACUCCAGCAAUAAAAAUUACAUGCUUUGAAGGUAGAAUAUAUCAUUCAAGUUGAAGACCCGUGGAUUAACUUUUGGGGUUAAGGCUAUGCUCUGGGGAAGGGGAAAAUUACCCACCCUUCGGAUUGCACAUUUGAUUUCGUUGAGACUUACCGGCUAGUGAUUCGUUCGUGUGUCCUGAAGUUGUUGGGAGCAAUCAUGUUGAUUCUUCGUAACUAUUUUCAGGCAACUGAGUAGCAGACCAUUGUCAGAUUCAGAUCAUUCGACUUAUUUCCUUUGACAGGUUGUCAUAUUGAUGACUUUUAUUUAAUCCUGGUUAUCUGCAGCUAUAGGGAGUCCUAGGUGGAUUUAGAUUUGAGAUUUAGAUUUAUUAUUUUAUUUUAAGAGUCGACACUGGAGUACUCGAGUUAAUUUGAUAUUUUACUUGAAAUACGGGUUAUGGAAGAGCUUAUUGGCAUAUGUUGUUAUUUUUGUAACUAUUGAAAAUCAAAAGAGAUUUUGCUGAAAUUUUAUAAAUUAUGUCUACAUGGUUAUUUUGAAUAAAUUGCUUGGAAAAUGAUUCUAUGAGUAUGAGGCUUGCCAGGCUAAGGUGGUAGUCUGUGCGCCGGUCACGAUUUAGGAUUUUGGGUCGUGACAAAGUUGGUAUCAGAGCUUUGGCUGUAGGUCCUAUUAGCUGCAGACAUGAGGUAGAGAUAGAAUCUUUCUAGUAAAUUGUGAACCGCGGCACAACUUACUUCAAAGAUGCUAUUAACGCCCCAUGAGAUUCCUAGAGUCGUUUCCAAAGUGUGAUUUGAGUUUGUUCCUCAUUCACAAAAAUCAGAGUCAUGUCUUAUAUUUGAUGAAUAUUCUUUUGUUCAGUGAGCAUGCCACCUAAAUUUGAUUUUCUAUUAGCGGAUGAGUUAGCUUAUUUAGAACCUCUUAAGGUGGUAGUGGUCGACGUUGUAGUGUAGGCCAAGGACCAUCGUCGAUUGGGGCUUGUUGUUCAUUGAUGUAGCUAACGUAAGGUGUUUAUACUGAGGUAAUGAAAUUCAUGGACGACAGAACUUACGGUUGGUAUAAGGAAUUAUAGCAUGAAUUGCAAUAACGCGUCUGAGUGAUUUUUUUGGGCAGCAACAACCCACAUUAGACAAUUUAUGAGCGUAAACUAGGUGUUGGAAAGAAGGGAGCAACACCAAGUAGGCACCACUAGAGAGAUUGAGGUCACGUUGAAUUGGGUUUGUAAAGCUUAAAUUCUCCUACCUUUCUAGUACUUGUGCAAUUGAGGAACAAAAUCGGGUAGUGCUUUAGGGGGACUAUGGAGAAUACUUGGAUGCGCACACAUUAGAGCGGUGGAGUUAACGUCAUUUCAGUUAGAUGGUGUAGUACUAGUAUAUGAUUGGUUUGUUGACUUUACGCAUAUGAGAACAAUGGGAUCGCCUCCGUUAGCAUGGGCUGAGUUUUAGCAGAAAUUUAUAUAUCAUUUCCUUCUAUAGCGUGUAGGAAUGGCAUAACUUGGGAGUUUGAGCGACUGAAGAAGGCUGAAGGCAUGACUGUAACCGAGUAUAGUGUCUGUUUUAGCUGUAUAUGUUGAUAUAUAUAUAUAUAUAUAUAUAUAUAUAUAUAUAUAUUUCCCUUAUUCUCUUAUUGAAGAAAUGUGUGCUAGGAGAUUUGUUAGAGAACUGGGCAAAUAUCUAUUUGGAUACAUGGUUUGGUGGAAUUCCACUUUUACCAAGGUUUUAAGUCUGGUGUGUCAAGUAGAGCAGCGGAAGAAUGAAACCCAGCAUUAAAUCACCAUAUUUUUUAUAAGAAACAAUGACUUGAUAGAUCACAUAAUAAUCAUUGAAUCAUGGCAGUGGGUUAAACCCCGUCACUAGAAACAACAACGUGGUAGAGGAAUCUUAUGGGAGAGAUCAGAGAUAGGUGAGUAGAGGUCAAACUUUAGUUUUUGUGUUUACUUUUCGGGACACUUAUGCUACCAAUGCAUGGUUACAAGUAUACUUUCUAUAUAUUCUUGAGAUGCUCGUUUUCGUUUGAUCUAAAAGCUAUAUACUUCCCAUUUUCUUUUAUAUGCUUCUCAUGUUGGUAAACUCUCUUUCUUGAAAUGAUAUGUUGGUUAUGGGCUUGUGGCUACACCUCCUGAAGAAUUUUCUAUAGUUAAUUUUGUGGACCAUCCUGUGGUGGUACUCGUUGGAGAUUGAGAGGUUUUGGUAGACUUAAUUGCAUUAGGCACGAUUGAUUUUGAUGUGAUCUUUAGGUAUGGAUUGAUUGACCCUUUAUCAUGAUACUUUGAAUUGUCACAACAGAGUAGUGAAGUUUAAAUUACCUAGAGAGUCAUCUUUCUCAUUUUCAGGAGAUUGAAGUUGGACACCAUAUAAUCUAAUUUCAGCAUUGGGAACUAACAUGUUACUAAGGAAGGGUUUUCAAGGAUACUUAGUUUUGAUAUGAUAUACUGAAAAAGCUUAAAUGGACACAAGAAGAGAUUCUUAUAGUGUGUAAAUUUUUGAAUGUAAUUCUUGGUGUACCGCCUAACAUGGAGAUAAAGUUUCCCACACACUUGGUUCCUAACACUAGUUUUAUUUGUGAAGAAUAAAGAUUGAACUACGCAAUUAUUGUUUGCUUACAGAAAGGUUGGAUAAUGUGACAACAAAGAAUAAAUAUCAUUUGCCUCAAGCACAUGAGUUGUUUGAUCGGCUACAAGGAGCCCAAUAGUUUUGAAAAAAAAAAAUGACUUGCAAUCUGAGUAUCAUCAAUUGAAUAUUGAGAAGGAAGAAAUUUUGAGAUAACUUUUGAAACAUGCUAUGGCCAUAAUAAUUUAUUAGUCAUGCCUUGGGAAGUAGUGAUGUCACUAUCAUUUUCAUGGACUUAAUGAGUCGCAUCUUUAAAUCAUUCCUGGAUCAUUUCGUGAUUGUUCUUAUUGAUUAUUCUUGUAUAUUCCUAAGGACUAGGAAUGACACUAGAAGCUUGUUGAUAGUAGAGUUUGGAUUGGGUUGCAUGUUUCAACUCGUCGUUGGCACACGUGAAAAUCCGUUCUAAUUUUGUUGAUGAGUUUAGAUUGACUCAAGGUCAAGGUCCUUAAUUGGUGAAGAUGGUAGAGGAUGUUCAAAGUGGUAAAGUUUGACUUUCAUAAUGUUUUACAACUUGAUUCUUUGAUGUGUGUGGCUAAGGUGGUUAGUUUGAGAAGAUAAAUAUGUGGAGAUACUCAUCAUUAUUUUUAAAGCCAUGCCAUACAUCCAUUUUAUAGUAAGAUGUAUCGAGAUGUGAAAGAAUUUUAUUGGUGGGAAGAGAUGAAGAAAGACAUAGAAAAUCUGCUUUUGAAUGUUUGUCAUGUCAGCAAGUGAAGGUUGAGUAUAAAAUCAAGUAAUGAUGUUUCAAUUUGUUGAGAUAUCAUAGGGGAAGUGAGAAGGUGUUGUUAUGAACUUGGUGAUGGUUGCUUAGAAGUAUUAUGAUUUAGUAUCGGUGAUUAUGAAUCGAUUGAUUGAGUAUGCACACUUCUUGCCUAUGAAGAGUACUUAUGUUGUUUCUAUGUAUAUUAAGAUUUACCUUGGAUGAGAUUGUGGUUUGUAUGGUGUAAGUGUGUCUAUGAUUUCAGAUCAAUGAGCUCCAUUGAAUGCACAAUUUUAGAAGACUUAGCAAACUGUUGUGGGGUCUGGAUCAAAUUUGGGUAUAACUUUUUAUGAUAAAUGGAUCGCUAAUUUGAGAGGAAUAUUUAGAUCUUGGGGAAUAUAUUUCAUGCUUGUGUAUUAUAAUUUAUACGGAGUUUGGAUUUGUACUAGUUUUAACGAAAUUUUCUUAUAGUAACAACUAUUAGUCAUGCAUACAGAUGACACCAUAUGAGGUCUUGUUUGGUGAGGCAAAUCACUAAUAUGGUGGUUUGAAGUUGGGGAAGCUAUGCUUGUAGGUACAAAGUUUGUCAAAAAGGUAGUAGAGGAAGUAAAGCUAGUUCGAGAUUGUUUGGUUACCUCAUAGUGAGAAAAAAGUCUUAUGUUGAUAGAAGAUGACACUCCUUAGAGUUCGCAGAUGGUGACUUUUUUUUACGAGUUUUAUCAAUGAAAGGAGUGAUCAGUUGGUUAAGAAGGGAAAGCUGACACCAAAAAUUUAAUAGAAUGUUGGAGGUCUUAGAGAGGGUUGGUGUUGUAGCUUAUCGAUUGGAACUUCCGCAGAAGUCUUUCUACAGUUUUUCAAUUUUCUUCGCUUCGAAAAUACUAAUAUGAUUCUUCUCACACUUUUCAUCAUCAUGAAAAUGUAAAUUUAGAUGAGUGAUUAUCUUAUAUUGAGCAUCUAGUACCCAUGGUUGAUAUAAGGUGAACUGCUUGGAUACUUGUUCAGUGAAAGUUCUUUCGCAAGAAACUACUUGAAGAAGUGAGAUAACUAUACGUGAGAAGUAUCUCUCAUUGUUGGAGACCCAAGGUUAGUUCAAACUUCAAAAUUCGAGGACGAAUUUUUCUUCAAGGAGGGAAGACUGAAACGACCCACUUUAUUAAAUAUUAAUUCCUAUUAUUAUAAUUAUUACUUUAAAAGAAAAGAGAAUAAGAUUAGGAAAAAAAAAAGAAGAGAAAAACUAAACCAAUUUUACCCAAAACCCACUAACAGUACCCCACUCCCCAAUUACAAAUGUUUCAAACCAUAUUCCAUCUCUUCGUCUCUCUCUCGUGACAUUUCUUUUCUCUCCUAUGUGCGGCAACUCCUUCUCUCUUCUUCUUCAUCAUUUUCUUCUUCCCUCACCGACAACAUACAAUACUCCAACAAUAAAAAUUACAUGCUUUGAAGGUAGAAUAUAUCAUUCAAGUUGAAGACCCGUGGAUUAACUUUUGGGGUUAAGGCUAUGCUCUGGGGAAGGGGAAAAUUACCCACCCUUCGGAUUGCACAUUUGAUUUCGUUGAGACUUACCGGCUAGUGAUUCGUUCGUGUGUCAUGAAGUUGUUGGGAGCAAUCAUGUUGAUUCUUCGUAACUAUUUUCAGGCAACUGAGUAGCAGACCAUUGUCAGAUUCAGAUCAUUCGACUUAUUUCCUUUGACAGGUUGUCAUAUUGAUGACUUUUAUUUAAUCCUGGUUAUCUGCAGCUAUAGGGAGUCCUAGGUGGAUUUAGAUUUGAGAUUUAGAUUUAUUAUUUUAUUUUAAGAGUCGACACUGGAGUACUCGAGUUAAUUUGAUAUUUUACUUGAAAUACGGGUUAUGGAAGAGCUUAUUGGCAUAUGUUGUUAUUUUUGUAACUAUUGAAAAUCAAAAGAGAUUUUGCUGAAAUUUUAUAAAUUAUGUCUACAUGGUUAUUUUGAAUAAA